GUUGCAGUGAGCCAAGAUCACGCCACAAAGAAAUGUAUCAGAUUUAAGUUGGGUUGAUCUCAAAGUGAAGGAUGGAGAAAUGAAUUCUCUAUUGUCAUAAGGAAAAGGGAAGUCAUGAAGUUAGAAGGAAUUCCAUCAUCACUUGGGAGAUUUCUGCGAAUCAUCACUAAAGCCAUUCACUUUCUCAUAACUAAACAAGAAUCUUCUUCUGGAGUUAAGUAUCAGAUAUGAAUGUUCUCACUGACCUCAGGAAGCAAAAGUCCUAAAUCAUUAUAUGGCAGUGAAGGUACAAAAAAAAAAAAAAAUCAGCAGGAAAUAAAGCGGAACUGCUGCCAACACAUACAAGCUGCAGUAGCACCCACAAAAUGUGUAGUAUCUAUUCUAACACAUUCAUUGGACUGAUUACAUUGGCUCAUAGACUUGGUUAACUCUGGAAGAACAUAAUAGGUGUUUAUUGUUUACUAUGGGGAUGGGAAACAUAAUUAAGUCUAUAGUCUCCAAUUCUUCUCAAGUUCAAAUGAAACCAACACUUUUGGUUUUGUCUUAAC
rnacentral:lncRNA from 1 species